AAGUGUUACAUCUCUUUUAGAAUUUGUCUAGCAGGCUUUCCGGUUCGUACCGGAAAGACCCU
rnacentral:snRNA from 1 species